rnacentral:rRNA from 1 species
GGGGAAUUUUGGACAAUGGGCGAAAGCCUGAUCCAGCCAUUCCGCGUGCAGGAUGAAGGCCCUCGGGUUGUAAACUGCUUUUGUACGGAACGAAAAGCCUUGGGUUAAUACCCUGGGGUCAUGACGGUACCGUAAGAAUAAGCACCGGCUAACUACGUGCCAGCAGCCGCGGUAAUACGUAGGGUGCAAGCGUUAAUCGGAAUUACUGGGCGUAAAGCGUGCGCAGGCGGUUUUGUAAGACAGAGGUGAAAUCCCCGGGCUCAACCUGGGAACUGCCUUUGUGACUGCAAGGCUGGAGUGCGGCAGAGGGGGAUGGAAUUCCGCGUGUAGCAGUGAAAUGCGUAGAUAUGCGGAGGAACACCGAUGGCGAAGGCAAUCCCCUGGGCCUGCACUGACGCUCAUGCACGAAAGCGUGGGGAGCAAAC